AUGAUGGUAAAGGGAGAGAUUACUGCGAGACAGUAACGCCGAAGGAGUAAGCCCGCCACGGGUGAAUCUCUCAGGCAAAAGGACGUUUACCGGACG
rnacentral:ncRNA from 2 species